rnacentral:rRNA from 1 species
CCCUGGGUUAGUCGGGACCUAAGCUGAGGCCGAAAGGCGUAGGUGAUGGACAACAGGUUGAUAUUCCUGUACUACCGAUAACCGUUUGAGAGAAGGGAUGACACAGUAGGAUAAGCUAAGCACACUGCUGGUUAUGUGUGCCCAAGCAUUGAGGCAGUCAAAGUAGGCAAAUCCGCUUUGAUAAUGCUGGGAUGUGAUGGGGAGCGAAAUUUAGUAGCGAA